AUUGAACGCUGGCGGCAGGCCUAACACAUGCAAGUCGAACGGUAACAGAACUAGCUUGCUAGUUGCUGACGAGUGGCGGACGGGUGAGUAAUACUUAGGGAUCUGCCUUUGGGAGGGGGAUAACCAUUGGAAACGAUGGCUAAUACCGCAUAACGUCUACGGACCAAAGGGGGCUUCGGCUCUCACCUGAAGAGGAACCUAAGCGAGAUUAGCUAGUUGGUGGGGUAAAGGCUCACCAAGGCGACGAUCUCUAGCUGUUCUGAGAGGAAGAUCAGCCACACUGGGACUGAGACACGGCCCAGACUCCUACGGGAGGCAGCAGUGGGAAUUUCCGCAAUGGGCGAAAGCCUGACGGAGCAAGACCGCGUGGGGGAGGAAGGUUUUUGGAUCGUAAACCCCUUUUGU
rnacentral:rRNA from 1 species